GAAGACCAAUAUUAGCAACAAGAAGCCUCUGCCACCAUGGAAGAAGGAUCUGGAAAGAAGGGUGGGAUCUCAGCCUGAUGGCAGGUCUUACCCAAGAGGGAAUUUUUUUCUCAGGAGAGUGAAGAAAGCCUGGCUUUCCUCAUCAGCUCUCUUUGUGUUGAAUUCAUCAGUCAUGACAAUCAUUUGAGAAACCUUAGAAGAUCAUCCCAAACCUGGAAAAAGUCAGUUACAUUAGGAAAGGAGUGAGCAUAAAGAGCACCUACUAGAGAGAGGGUCCUUUCACACACAUGACCUCAUGUAACCUUCACAAUCAUGCCAUAAGAGUAUUUACAGCCUCUGCUGUUGCUCUGCUUCUAUCUGGUGGAUUAAGGAAAGUCACAACUCACAGCCCUAGUGGAAAGUUACAACUGGGAUUUGAGCUAAUGAAGAGUUGAAGACUCAGCAACAGGCGCUUGGCUUCACUAUUAACCUGGACAAGGCCAUUAACUCACCUGUACUUAAUUGGCUUGUUCUGUGACACACUGUUGCCCCAGAAACACCCAUAUGGGUGUACCCCACAUGAAAGAAGCCCGCUCUAUGAAAACCGAGACUUGUUGAAAAGAUAAAUGGGAGUUAAUUAUUUAAUUAACCACAAAAGACUUUGCUCUGAAAAAUGGGAUUUCUGGAUAGCUAGUUUCAAAAUAAUACUGAAAAUUUUGAUUCUGGGAGAAAGGGAGGAUACAAAAAUGUGUCAGUUCUUUUU
rnacentral:lncRNA from 1 species